CCUUGUAUGUGCUCUCACUUAGAAAGGCAGAAGCAGACAUGGCAAGAUAAUUGGAAUGAUCUUAAAAGCAUGUGGCCGUAAUUCAGGAGCCUAUUUUCUUCUUAUGGACGCCUGUGGGAAGACAUACCUUUAAUGUCUAAACCUAUUAUUACCAGCUAAUUCAAGCUCUAAGUUCCUCACGAGUCACUUCCUGCCAAGGCCCGUGUUUGAAGCUACUUGGAAGUGCAUAAUUCUUUCAAUCAGAUAUUUAUGAAAUAAAAUAUGGGCGAUUAAAAGAUCAAAGUUUUGAUUGUAGCCAGAGAUCAUGACGGGAAGUUUUGAUGUCUGGGGCUGGAGUUAUUAACUGUUCCAUUCCUGCAGAUGAAGCGGAAGUUGAGGCUGUAAUUUUUGGUGUUCAUCGUGCUCUUGAUGCAGGCUUCGUAGACAUCCAGCUGGAGUCAGAUUGGUUGAUCUUGGUUAACCAUGUUCAGAACAAAACAGUCCCUAAUUUAUAUUUUGGAACAAGAAUUCAGCAGCCUUUGUUGGUUUCUUAGCUCUGCAGAUCCUUUUGUGGCUCCCACGUUUUCAGAGAGGCCAAUGAGUUGGCCCAUUCAUUAGCUAAAUUGGCUGUCUAUUGUUUCA
rnacentral:misc_RNA from 1 species